rnacentral:misc_RNA from 1 species
CUAUGGUUGGCACAAGCUGG